rnacentral:misc_RNA from 1 species
GUCAGAGCGACACGGCCCAGCCGGGAAGCGAAGACAAAGUCCGAGAGAGACUCCCACUAAGGUGGGGGAUCCUCGCUGCCACUAGAGAAUGCAGCGGCUUUUAGCCGCCGGAUUCUUGCGCGGCAAAGUCGGGCGUGUUGUUUGAGAACUCAAUAGUGUGUUUGGUGGUUUUUGUUUGUUGUUUUUUGUCCGCCUCUUUUUCCCGUUUAGGGGUGGAUGUUUUUGAUGCCAGUUUUUGGUGUCG